UACGUAGGGAGCGAGCGUUGUCCGGAUUCAUUGGGCGUAAAGAGCUCGUAGGCGGCUUGGCAAGUCGGGUGUGAAAACUCCAGGCUCAACCUGGAGACGCCACCUGAUACUGCCAUGGCUAGAGUCCGGUAGGGGACCACGGAAUUCCAGGUGUAGCGGUGAAAUGCGUAGAUAUCGGAGGAAUACCGGUGGACGAACGGCGGCAGUCCUGGACCGACGACUUGACGCUGAUGAGC
rnacentral:rRNA from 1 species